UGGAACACAGGAUGGAAAUGUGACUUUAAAAGCACUGCAGAAUUGAUGGCUUAACAAGGAAUGGUAGGAACACGCCUUCAGAUGGAGGCUGUGUGUGCGUGUUGCCUCACUGAUGAAGUGAAAGCUGGAUGUACCCCGUGCUGCUGCUGCUGCGUAAUUGCGCAGGUCAGGGCGGCUUGUUUCUCGGCUUAUUAUUCAGAUUCUGUACCAACAGCUGCUUACUCAGCAGCAGUGAAAUGAGUGUGUCUUCAUGGCGCACUGCUGAUAUUUACAGAUGGAAAUAACGGUCCAAUGGUGAUGAAUGGUGCUGCAUGGUGGGAGAUUCACUCGAACAUGAGAAGUGGGAGGGAGAAUGUCAUGUUCCCUGAAGACUACGGGGCAAUAAAGCUAAGUAUCUUUCAGAGGCCGGCUUGCACUGCACAAAGCAGGCCUUUAAGCUUUGCAAUGGCCUGUUACCACAGAAAUCGCCACCAUCAGAUUCCUGACAUGCUUUGAAAGGGGGGAUCCUAACUUCUACUAGGAAAACACAUUAUGAACACACAAAGAAGACUCAGGACUGUGAGAAUGACACAAAAAAGAAGCAAAGGAUAAUAGGUAAAACCAUUUUCAAUGUUCCUGAACAGCUGAUUUACAUCACUACCAGGGCAACUUUGACAUUUGAAGGUACAUUAGGUGAACAGAGAAGAGAAGCGACGGACGUGCAGCUUCAAAAGACAAGCAAGCACAUGAGCGUCAUCCACCGUUUCCAGGGAGCAUGCCAACAGAAACAACAGUAUCAAAAGGCCAGGAAUUCUUUUCUACAGGACAGACAGAGGGGGACAUUAAUUGGGAGCGCUGCAGUAUCGUUGUUGUUGACACAACCAAGAUGGACAAUGUGCACUGUUUGAACAGAGAAUUUUUUUUGAGCCAACUCUUUGCACCACUGGUUAAACAUGAAGGAUUUUAAAAAAGAAAAUGAAAGACAAAAAAGAGAAGAAAACAGAGUGUUGGAGACAAACUCCUUUCCUGUCUCAUUAUGAAGUGGACAUCCAGUCCUGUCAUAUGACAAUGUCCACUAUUUACUGAAAUGAUUAAUGAUAGGCUAAAGGAGAGCAUGACAGACUAAUAUCACCACAGUCCCUGGUAUGACUGGUGUAUAAUUUUGUUUUCAUUUCUAUGCAGGCAACUACUGAUUAUUUUCAUAAUUGACUUUUUUUUUUCUUUAAAAAGGUUAAUAUUUUGAACAAAAUGCCAAAAAAGUCAUAUAAAUACCCAUGACGUGUUCAAAUUGUGUUCAAUUAUGUCCAGUAUCAAAACCCAAGGAUAUUCAAUAAACAAUGAGAAACAACAGUGA